UAGUUUGAUCAUGGCUCAGAUCGAACGCUGGCGGCAUGCCUACACAUGCAAGUCGUAACAAGGUAACCGUAAGUCGUAACAAGGUAACCGUAGAGUUUGAUCCUGGCUCAGGAAAGUCGUAACAAGGUAACCGUAGAGUUUGAUCAUGGCUCAGCCUUUGACUUAAAUAAAUGGAGAAGUCGCAACAAGGUAACCGUAAGUCGUAACGGGGUAACCGUAGAGUUUGAUCCUGGCUCAGCCUUUGACUUAAAAAAUGGAGAAGUCGUAACAAGGUAACCGUAAGUCGUAACAAGGUAACCGUAGAGUUUGAUCCUGGCUCAGAAAGUCGUAACAAGGUAACCGUAGGUCGUAACAUGGUAGCCGUAGAGUUUGAUCAUGGCUCAGCCUAA
rnacentral:rRNA from 1 species